rnacentral:ncRNA from 1 species
CAAAAGCUUGGUCCUGACUUUAGUAUCAUCUUUGGUUAAAAUUAUACAUGCAAGUAUCCGCACCCCUGUGAAAAUGCCCUAACAUCCCCCUAAUCAGGAAAAAAGGAGCUGGAAUCAGGCACGAUAACAUCAGCCUAAAACACCUUGCCUAGCCACACCCCCAAGGGAACUCAGCAGUAAUAAACAUUAAGCAAUAAGUGAAAACUUGACUUAGCUAUAGCCAAGAGAGCCGGUUAACCUCGUGCCAGCCACCGCGGUUAUACGAGAGGCUCAAGUUGAAACCACACGGUGUAAAAAGUGGAUAAAACACAACUCAUUAAAGCUAAACAUCUUCUAUGCUGUUAUACGCUCAUGAAGACAGGAAGCCCCUUUUACAAAAGUAGCUUUAAAAUAAAAUUACCACUAAAGCUAAAAUACAAACUGGGAUUAGAUACCCCACUAUGCUUAGCCUUAAACAUAAAUAUUUUGUAACUUUAUUAUUUACCUGGGAACUACGAGCCCUAGCUUAAAACCCAAAGGACUUGGCGGUGCUUAAGACCCCCCUAGAGGAGCCUGUUCUAUAAUCGAUAACCCCCGUUAAACCCUACCCUUAAUUGCUAAGCCUGCCUAUAUACCGCCGUCGUCAGCUUACCCUAUGAAGGCUAUUACAGUAAACAUAAUUGGUAAAACCCAAAACGUCAGGUCAAGGUGUAGCGCAUGUAAGGGAAAGAAAUGGGCUACAUUUACUGACACAGUAAACACGAAUGAUACUUUGAAAUAAGUAACUGAAGGAGGAUUUAGCAGUAAGGAAAAAAUAGAGUGUUUUCCUGAAACUGGCCCUUAAGCGCGCACACACCGCCCGUCACUCUCCCCAACAUAAUAAUAUAAUUAUAUAAAAAAUUCUAUAAACAAGGGGAGGCAAGUCGUAACAUGGUAAGGGUACUGGAAAGUGCACUUGGAAAAAC